rnacentral:lncRNA from 1 species
UUUAUCUUUUUCUUUAUUGCUCUCUCUCUCUCUCUCUCUCUCUCUCUCUCUCUCUCUCUCUCUCUCCCGUUUGGUUUGAUUCUCCGAAAGCCGCAAAAAUAUACCCCUUCUUUCUCUUUCUGCCCUUUUCAUUCUCCCCAACUUCAUCGGGGUUCAGACCCAACCGGACCCCUUUCGUGCCUCUCUCUUCUCUGCAAAUCUUGCCCACUUCUCCUUCACGGAACCCAUAGCCGGGUUCUCUCGUCUUCUCUGACGAUUUUCUCCAUUCGAGCUAAACCCACCGCCGUACAUAGUUUCUAAUUCAAACCCACUGAUUUGACUCGCAGAACCCUCACACACCGGCCAUUCUUUUCCUAUUCUAAAACCCACUUGCCCGAUCAUUUGCUUGAGGCUUCCAUUUUUCUUUGUAAUCCAGUAUUCAACACACUGCGAGACUGAGAAGCAUACCAAAUCGGACCCUUUUCUCUGGUGUUCGCCCUCUUCCUCAAUCCGUUCGGUUUGUUCUCUUUUCGAAAUCCAAGACCCACCGCUGCUUCACUGGUCAAAGGCUCUGUCUUCAAGCUCAGUCGCCAGAUCCUGGAGACGGAGUAUCCCUAAUCUCAGCGAGACGCUGGUCUUACGGACGGUAAAGAUUCGUCCUUGCUUCGGUAUUUGGUACUGUAAAGUUGUGGGUAUUGCUGAGUGAGAAUAUUACAUAGAGCUUUUGUUUGAUUCUUGACAGUCUCACUGAAUGAUAUAUAUGGAUUUUUGUGUUUGGUUUUGUUAGUUUUCUUUCUCCUUUUCUUUUUGUUCUUCCUUGUUAUAGUUCGUUAGUUUGUUACAAUUGUCUGUGAAGAAGAUGUUUCCUUUAUAUUUGAUUCCAGGCGUCAGAUAGUGGUAGACAUGAAGUCAUAUUACAUACUAUUCAGUAACCAGAGAUUAAUGUCUUAUUUACAAUCUUUGAAUACAGUUGUCUUAAUUUGCUGGCUUGAGGUGUAGGAGGUUUCUUUUUCUUGGAAGAAGAUAACUGUCUAGUAUUAGAAAGCGCCAGUUUAGGAAAGAAUGCAAAUUUAUAUGUCUUGUAUUUAGAAAGCACCGGUUUAGGAAAGAAUACAAAUUUAUAUGUUAAUCAAAAUAUUGAUACCCCAAAAUUCUCCUCAGAACAAAGAUGAUAAGCUUUGAACAAAGCAUAUUCUGAAAGAAAAGAUCUUCAAUCAUAGAAAAAGUAGUUCAUGGAUGUUCUGUUCCUUUCGCAGAAAAUAGCUGAAGAAUAAAAGAAAUAAGGUUCUUUCUGUGGUCAAAAGAAACCUCCUGUAAGUCCAUAGAGAAGAUUUUUGUUAGAACUCCAUUUACUUCUUGAUAAUGUUGAUUUGGUUACAAAUGGGAUGCAGCUAAACAAUUUCUUCUAUAUCCAUUGCUUGGUGACGUAAUCCAAACUAGUUUUUAUUAAGAUGUAAUAUAGUGGAGAAUUCUAAGAUCCAAUUAUUGGCUUGAGGCAGAGGUUGGAUUACUAUGAGUUGCGAUCUCUCUGACUUAGGUGUAUGUUAGAGAAAAGUGGAAUGUAUUUUUAUGGAUGUGUUAAGUUCAAAGUUGUGGUUGCACACUCAAUGAGGUUCUGGAGGGAGAUAAAUUCUUGAUGCAUCCGUCUUUGCUAAUGAAUUGGUGGAGAAGGUGAAAAGGUCUAAAGGCAAGCUACUCAUUCUUAAACUGGAUUUUGAGAAGUGCUAAGAUAGGGUUAAUGGGUGUUUUUUGGAUAAAAUUACGUGUAGGAAGGAGUUUGGUAAUAAAUGGCAGAGUUGGUGGAGAUUUUCAGUUGUAUGUUAUCUUGAGAUUGUGAGUGAAGUUCUAUGAAAGGUAUUGGGACAGAUAACAUUGUGAUCUGUUCAAUUACAAUUUGCAAACGGUACAAUUUUCUUUAAAAAAAAAAGGGUAUGAUCUUCUUUAAAAAAAGGGUACAAUCUUCGUUCCCUCGAAUGGUAAUUGUUGAGUAGUGAUUCAUAUUCAGAGGAUUUAUUGUUUGCAAUUUGGGCCCAGGCUGUUUUUACCAUAAGGGUUAUGCUUGUAAAUUUUGCUUCUGUCCUUUCCACUAUAAUUAAAUAAACCUUAGUUAUAAGAUAUGGUUCUUCAUAUGGUAAAAAAUUU